rnacentral:rRNA from 1 species
ACAGAUGGGAGCUUGCUCCCUGAUGUUAGCGGCGGACGGGUGAGUAACACGUGGGUAACCUGCCUGUAAGACUGGGAUAACUCCGGGAAACCGGGGCUAAUACCGGAUGGUUGUCUGAACCGCAUGGUUCAGACAUAAAAGGUGGCUUCGGCUACCACUUACAGAUGGACCCGCGGCGCAUUAGCUAGUUGGUGAGGUAACGGCUCACCAAGGCGACGAUGCGUAGCCGACCUGAGAGGGUGAUCGGCCACACUGGGACUGAGACACGGCCCAGACUCCUACGGGAGGCAGCAGUAGGGAAUCUUCCGCAAUGGACGAAAGUCUGACGGAGCAACGCCGCGUGAGUGAUGAAGGUUUUCGGAUCGUAAAGCUCUGUUGUUAGGGAAGAACAAGUGCCGUUCAAAUAGGGCGGCACCUUGACGGUACCUAACCAGAAAGCCACGGCUAACUACGUGCCAGCAGCCGCGGUAAUACGUAGGUGGCAAGCGUUGUCCGGAAUUAUUGGGCGUAAAGGGCUCGCAGGCGGUUUCUUAAGUCUGAUGUGAAAGCCCCCGGCUCAACCGGGGAGGGUCAUUGGAAACUGGGGAACUUGAGUGCAGAAGAGGAGAGUGGAAUUCCACGUGUAGCGGUGAAAUGCGUAGAGAUGUGGAGGAACACCAGUGGCGAAGGCGACUCUCUGGUCUGUAACUGACGCUGAGGAGCGAAAGCGUGGGGAGCGAACAGGAUUAGAUACCCUGGUAGUCCACGCCGUAAACGAUGAGUGCUAAGUGGUUAGGGGGUUUCCGCCCCUUAGUGCUGCAGCUAACGCAUAAGCACUCCGCCUGGGGGAGUACGGUCGCCAGACUGAACUCAAGGAAAUUGACGGGGC